rnacentral:rRNA from 1 species
AUGACUCAGUUCUGUGAUGUUCUCUGGAAUGGCAAGGAAGGGUUCGAGGUGAAACAUGUGAGUGGCAGAGGAAGGAGCUAUACAGUAAACUUAGACAAAUGGACUUGCUCUUGUGGUUACUUUCAGCUGGCAGGGCUGCCUUGCUGCCAUGCCAUCAGUGCCAUAUACAAGAGUGGAAGAAACAUAGCUGAUUUCAUUCACAAGUGCUAUUCAGUUGAGCAAUUUAAGAAGAUAUAUGAGCACUGCUUGAAUCCAGUAGAAGGACAGGAGAGAUGGCCUGUCUCAGACAAACCUAGACCACAAGCACCUGGGUAUGUGAGUAUGCCAGGUAGGCCUAGGAAGAAUGACAGGAAGAGGGAAGAGGGAGAAGCACCUAAAGGAAAGAAAAUGUCAAAGCAUGACACUAAAAUUACUUGCAGCAUGUGUGGCCACAAGGGCCACAACAAGACAGGCUGCAACAAGAAUCCUGAAAAGGGGAAGAAGAAGAAUGCCUUCCUGAAGAAAACAGGCAGGAAAAUGAAGUCAUCUGAGCAAGCAAACACUGAUGCUCAGAUCAGAGCAAGCCAGCAGGCUAAGAGCGGAGGAGAAGUUCAAGCACAAGCAAGAAUAAGUGGAGGGAAGAGGAAGGCUACAAACAAACAGAAUGUGCAAGCCAAGAAAAAAUCAAAGAAAUGA